UUCUUUAACGCCAAUUUCUUUUCAAUGGAAAUAGGAUAAAAUAUGACGUAUAGAUUUAUGAUAUUUUCUUCUCUUGUAAUGACAAUUUCUUGUAAAAUAUAGUUACUACAUAUUACAAAUUUUUCCGAUCCAAAUUUCUAUUUCUCUCUUCGUUUAAUAUUAAAAAGUUAAAAAAAAAGAAAGAAUUAAAAAUUUAAUAUAAAUGAAAAUUUAUAUAAAAUACGCCAAUGAACUUUUAGAAAGAAAGAUCGUAACUUUAAAAAUAUCGUAAUUUUUCUUCCAUUCUAAAAUUAGACUGAUCAUAGAUUUAUUAAGAAAAUAUUCGUCUUAAAAAAACUUUUAUUCCUAUCUCGUAGAGAUGGAACGUACAUCGAGAUUAUUAAUCAGCAUGUUUCUUUUUUAACAAUAAUCAUUUGAAAUAUUUGUCACUUGUAUCUUUUAUAUUAUCGAUACACGUUCCUUCAAUUAUAUUCUGAAAAAAUUUUAAUGCAUCACACUUAUUUUUAUCCUUUUUAUUAUACCUCUAUCUAACUUGUAAUAUCGAAAUUUAUAUUCAAUAUCUGUUCGAAAAUACUGGGAAAAUUAUCAUCUUUGCAAAAACUAUGAUACAAAAUUUCGAUAAGGAAAAUGCAUCGAGAUCGAUUCGUUUAAUCGAAAACCUUUCCUCCCUCUAUCCAUCGCAAUCAAUUACCGGACACUUUGCAAACGCGACAAUAGUUAACGUCUAAUGACAACUGGCGUUGACGUAACUCGAAACCAGGGUGUGUUCCGAUUGUUAUAUACCAGGACUCCAAUUCUCGUUACGCAAACAACGCGGAACAAUCGAUCAAUCGAAUUGUUUAUUUAUCGCGAAGUUUAGAAUAAAGUGUGUCACCAUCAACUCUCUGCCUUCUCUUCGAUUCGAUUCGGUUUGAUCGCAUUGUCGAUUCGUUCCGAUUUUAAAACGUAACAGGUAGACUAGAGGGUGGGUACAUACUUAUUUUCGUUUCGUUUCGUUUAUUUUCGCUACUUCCUGCCGAGAGAUUACGAGGAACAUCGCCGGGGAAAAGAAUUGGUCGAGGUAUUCACGUGAAUGUUACGAAAUGAAUUUAUAUUGAUGAUGAGAGGCAUGCGCGUUAUUUAAUACGUUGAAUAAGCCUGAUGUACAUCAUAUUAUUUCGAGAAAUGUUCUAAAUAUUUCUUUUCUGGAUGGGUAAUCUUUGAAAAAAACCUUUCUUCUUUGCUUCGGAUUUAGAAUAAAGAUGUUUUCAGGAAGAUAUUCGUGCAAUUUCGAUAUAAAGGGGAACGAGUGGUAAUAACUGCGAUUUUUUAAAAUAAUACUUUCGUUUUUAUAUCGUCGAAUUGUUGUAAAGAGAUUACACGUUACUCGUGUUACUGGAGGAAUGUUUAUUUUUACAUUUAUCAUACAUUUGGACUACCGAAUAAUUUAUCAAAUUGUUAAAUCAUUAAAUAACAUCAACAGAAAUAUUUAAUAAUGAGAUUACAUGGCAAUUGAUACAAGUAAAAUAUAAUUUUACGAAGAAAUUUCGAAAAUACGUUAGAAAUGAUAUUUCAAGAGCAAGUUAAAAUAAUUAUCGAAUAAAAAGUGAUUUUUUUUUUACCAAGAUACCAUUUAAAUUAGAAAAUUUUUAUAAUUAGUCGGAUUACUAGUAAAAUGUUUUAUACAGAUAAUGUAAAUUAUAUCGUUCGACAUUAAUAGAGUUAAGCGUUUAAUGGUUUUUAUUUAUAAGCGGCAAAAUACUUGCGAUUCAAGGUUCUUAAAUUAAAAAAGUGGACGUGUAGUGGCGACCAGUUGGAUUGCAUCUGCCGCAAGAUAAUUACAUUGAUAAUUACAUUCGUUGCAAAGGAACUACUUAUUGUAAAGGAUGCGAUAAAGGGGUUUCGACGCGAAAGAAAAUCGCAAAUAAGACGAUAUGUAGGAUACAGCUGUGCAUAUACCUAUAAUAAUCCACCUAUUAAAGUAUUUUCUACUUAAUAUUAUCUUUGGCAAUGCAGAUAUGGGAAAAGUACCAUUACUUGAAAAGCAAUUAUCUAAAUGUUCUAAUCGAAUGUCGUAUUAUACAAAUAUUUUACAAAUUGAUUGUUUCGAAUUAAAUCUAUUUUAUUAUUCCGAAUAAGUAUAUUUUCUUCGGUGAAGUAACGAAAACGAGAACUCUAAUUCAGAGGAAAAAUUGAAAAUAUUUUUAAAAUUGUUAUAUCAUAUAGAUACCCUUUGCUCGGAUGAUCAUUAAUAUUAUCAUUUCUUAUUAUAAUUUUUAAUUUUAUUUAUCAUAUUUAAAUAUAAUCCGAUAACCAUUGUGUCUUCGUGUUAAUUUAAAUUUUAUAUUAUAUUAAUAAUUAAAUUAUUAGGUCCUAUUACGUUUCCUUUUAUGGAUAAAGUAUAGACAAAAUACAUUGUUCCCAUCAAAUAGUUGCCAUUGUUAAAUUACUGCACACUGUCAUCGAAUCCAGUUGUGGCACAACUGCAAAAGCGUUAAAUGUUUUUACCUCGUGGCAAGCCACGCUAGUCCGUGUUCUCGUUCUAUUAUUGUCUACUUUGCACGUAAUUUAAAACGGCUGCUAAUCGACCAAGUGUCGUGAAUUACGAGAUCUCAGCCACCCGUACAAAAGAAAUCGUACCCCUUCCUUAAAACGCUGUACCUACACUAAGGCAGAAAUCCAGAAAUGUAUAUUUUAUUCCCUAACGAUUAUUUCGGUGUCGUAAACCGAAGUAACCGAGACAGAGAAAGCAAGUUUUGCAGCAUGCUAAGAGGAAUAUGCGAAUAAGCGAGAAAUUGUCAUAAUUGAAAAGGACGUCUUGGCGAGUGGACUGUGUCGAACAAUUUAUUUUUACUAGACGUAUGGAAUUCGUGACGCUGUUUGGGAAAGUUGCUCCAAAGAUUCUGAGCGCUUUCACGAUAUUAGGAAUUCGAAAUUUAAAAUUUUUAAACUUUUCGAUUGAAAUUUAGAAGAAGAAGGAGAAAGAAUAUAAAUUCAAAUACGAUGAUAAUAUUUUAAAAAUUAACAAUAUAAUUUUAUAAAUUGAUAAGGAACAAAAUUUUUAAAAUUAACAUAGCACAAUGAUGGAUUAAUUACGAAUAUUCUCCCCUCCUCUAAAAUUUUAUAUAAUUUUCGAAAAAGAUAUUGGAUAAAUAUAAAAAUAUUUAAAGAAAAUAAUAGAUUUAAACAAUGAGACUAUUCUCCGGUUGAUUUUUCUUUUCUUUUUUUUUUUUUUCGUUUCAAUGAGAACGGUCUUAAUGUUUCUAACGAGGACGAUUAGCUCAUAGACAAUGAUACGUCGUGAAAUCGAACUUAAUCAUCUAAUGCAAUUAAUUGGAUUUGAUUCAGUAAUGCUUAAUAGAUCGUAUUAUUUGACGCGACGUUUGCGUCAUCGUGGUUAGUCUCAUUUUUCUUUUUUUUUUUGUAUUACGAAUAAACAGUGCAAAAAUUUACAAACGAUUAUUCGAUUUUUCUCAGUUUUGUCUUUGCUAUUUUUCGACUUUCGUUUCCAAGAUUUCCUUUUUUUAUAUAUUAUUAAAUACACAAAUAAGAGAGGAUAAUUUCGCGUUACUGAGAAAGUUUCGAGCGAAACUGCAAGCUUGUUUUGUUUAUAAUCAAAGAUUUUUAAAUAAACGGAUUAGAGAGAUAUAGAAAAUUUUGAAAAAAAUUGGAUAAACAGCAAUCGUAGACUAAAUAAUUUUCUUUUUAUAUUUAUAACAGUUUAUUCGUGAUUCGUUCAAUCUAAAUUCCAUAUUUAAAUUACCUUUUAAUUUACGAACUAAUAAUAAUAACAAUUAACAAAUUAUUAAAUUACAAAAUUUUCUUUCAAAAUUUCAUAACUUAUAUUAAUAACAAUACAUGAUUUAUCACACCUGGAACCGAAUCUUCAAAAUUUUAUACAUCAAUAGUUUAAAUCUAUAAUAAAAUUUCUCUCAAUACUCGAACAUAAAAGGAUUAAAUCUCGCGAAGAAACCUGUCACAAAAAAAAAAAAAAAGAAAAUGAAAGAAAGACAAUCUUCCCUUUCAUCAUCUUAUCUUAUCCUUGCCCCGUAUCGAUCGAUCGAUCCAAUUCGAUCCACGCACUUUAUAAAUAAUAGAGCAACCACCAUUAUACCAUUUCCGCUUAUCGAUCGCUUGUCACGCGAGAGGAAAACGCAUCUCGAAGGUCUGUGAUGCCGGCCGGCAUCCACGACGCGAUGGACAAUCGCGAGCGACGAUCGCCAAUUAUCCGCGCGGUGCCGGCGAAAUUAGUGGCGUUGAUGCGCGCUGGGUCGGGCAUGGAAACGCGUGGUCGCUCGCCUUCGGACAGGCGAUAAAGUGCGAAUUAAUUCAGCGUUAAUUCCACGCCUGCCGGCUUCCACCGCCGCGGGGAAAACGCGCACGGCCCGAUGAAAACCGAAACUUCAUUAAGUUCGACUUCAUAAUUCGUUUCGUUUAACGACAAUGUUCCCGGCCUAUUUUCGCAAUAUGGAACGGAUUGUCGAAAGGGAAGGAUUUUCAUCCUUUCGAGCUGUUUAAUUUCGAUCGUUGCUGAUUGUGAUGUUUGCAUAUUGAAGGAAGAUAGUGAACGAAAAAAAGAGGGAAUAGAUAUCUGUUAUAUGUGUAGAAAAAUUAACGAUGUGACAAAAUAAAACUUUUUAAAAAAUGAUAUCGACAAAAUUCUUACGUCGAGUACAUGGGAUUAUUACAAAUCAAAGUUGCAAAUAAUAAAUUCCCAAGAAUCAAUAAUUUUUAAAUCUUCAUCUUGAGUUCGGAAGCGUAAGAUUAUGGUUCAGCAUUCCGUCGAAACGGCAAAGGUUAAAGGAUCGUUUGCUUUAAGUCUGCUACGACCUCUGAAUCUUUUACGAUCCCAUUGCGUUCUCGUUUUGGUAAACAACAGUUAAAAGUAAGUUCUUAAAGUAGAUAAACGUGAUGUUGAAGCAUUAAAGGAGAAGAUACAAUAUCGUAACAAUACUUUAUCUUUAUAAUCUUUAAUAGUUGAUAAAUCGUUACCAAAUAUAAUAAACAACAGUGACUCAAAUUUAAAAAUGUUUCCAAGAUAACGAAAUCUUAUAUCAAUUUUUUAUCAAUGAUAUUUCGAGUAUUCAACCAUUGAUACAAGGAUAUAUACGAAAAACGAAAAUUCAAAUUUGCUUCGUCGAUCAAGAAGCAACAACCGACAAGCAAAAGAAGAAAAGAAACGAACGAAUGAAAAGAACGAAAAAGAGAAAAUCCCAAAAACUACCGUGGAGGAAGUGAACCUAACCAAUAGGAUCAACUAGAAUGAAAGAGAAAGUGUCGUUUUACCAAAUCUUCAGCGUCAGACGAGGUCGAUCGUUCUGUAGGGGGUUGAUACAGAAGCUCGACGUAGCAAGGUUGAUUGUAAGUAUAAUUGCAAAAGAGACACGGACGAAAGGAGAGGGUGAGGGGGCACGACGAAACAGAAAAAGAAGGAGAGAGAGAGAGAGAGAGAGAGAGA